GAAUCUUCCGCAAUGGGCGCAAGCCUGACGGAGCAACGCCGCGUGAGUGAUGAAGGCCUUCGGGUUGUAAAACUCUGUCUUCUGUGAAGAACAAGCCUAUGACGAGAACGCUUAGGCCCUGACGGUAACAGAGGAGGAAGCCCCGGCUAACUACGUGCCAGCAGCCGUGGUAAUACGUAGGGGGCAAGCGUUGUCCGGAAUCACUGGGCGUAAAGCGCGCGCAGGCGGCUGUCUACGUCCGGGGUGAAAGCCCAGAGCUCAACUCUGGGAUUGCCUUGGAUACGGGAUAGCUUGAGGAUCGGAGAGGCAAGGGGAAUUCCACGUGUAGCGGUGAAAUGCGUAGAGAUGUGGAGGAACACCUGUGGCGAAGGCGCCUUGCUGGCCGAUUUCUGACGCUGAGGCGCGAAAGCGUGGGGAGCAAACAG
rnacentral:rRNA from 1 species